rnacentral:sRNA from 1 species
AUUUGUUGUGGGCAAAUAAAAUGAAUGUGGGCGUCAAUGCCACCCGGGGUUACGAUUUGGCCUUCACCAGCAAUCACUUCGGUUCCCGGCCCCACUUCUAUGGUGACACCUUCUUGUGUAUCUGGGUUGCCCGCUUUACCAAUGGCCAUGAUACGGCCUGCUUUAAUACCGAUAUCGGCUUUUACAACACCCCAAUAAUCCAAAAUUAAUGCAUUGGUAAUCACAGUAUCGGCAACAUCUUUACUUAACGCCUGGCUUUGACCCAUGCCAUCACG